rnacentral:rRNA from 1 species
UACGUAGGGGGCAAGCGUUGUCCGGAAUCAUUGGGCGUAAAGAGCGCGUAGGCGGUCCGGUAAGUCGGGUCUGAAAGCCCGGGGCUCAACCCCGGGAGGCGGGCGGAUACUGUCGGGCUAGAGUCCGGAAGAGGCGAGUGGAAUUCCUGGUGUAGCGGUGAAAUGCGCAGAUAUCAGGAGGAACACCGAUGGCGAAGGCAGCUCGCUGGGACGGUACUGACGCUGAGGCGCGAAAGCGUGGGGAGCAAACAGG